GAUGAACGCUGGCGGCGUGCCUAAUACAUGCAAGUCGAGCGAACGGACGAGAAGCUUGCUUCUCUGAUGUUAGCGGCGGACGGGUGAGUAACACGUGGAUAACCUACCUAUAAGACUGGGAUAACUUCGGGGAACCGGAGCUAAUACCGGAUGAUAUUUUGAACCGCAUGGUUCAAAAGUGAAAGACGGUCUUGCUGUCACUUAUAGAUGGAUCCGCGCUGCAUUAGCUAGUUGGUAAGGUAACGGCUUACCAAGGCAACGAUGCAUAGCCGACCUGAGAGGGUGAUCGGCCACACUGGAACUGAGACACGGUCCAGACUCCUACGGGAGGCAGCAGUAGGGAAUCUUCCGCAAUGGGCGAAAGCCUGACGGAGCAACGCCGCGUGAGUGAUGAAGGUCUUCGGAUCGUAAAACUCUGUUAUUAGGGAAGAACAUAUGUGUAAGUAACUGUGCACAUCUUGACGGUACCUAAUCAGAAAGCCACGGCUAACUACGUGCCAGCAGCCGCGGUAAUACGUAGGUGGCAAGCGUUAUCCGGAAUUAUUGGGCGUAAAGCGCGCGUAGGCGGUUUUUUAAGUCUGAUGUGAAAGCCCACGGCUCAACCGUGGAGGGUCAUUGGAAACUGGAAAACUUGAGUGCAGAAGAGGAAAGUGGAAUUCCAUGUGUAGCGGUGAAAUGCGCAGAGAUAUGGAGGAACACCAGUGGCGAAGGCGACUUUCUGGUCUGUAACUGACGCUGAUGUGCGAAAGCGUGGGGAUCAAACAGGAUUAGAUACCCUGGUAGUCCACGCCGUAAACGAUGAGUGCUAAGUGUUAGGGGGUUUCCGCCCCUUAGUGCUGCAGCUAACGCAUUAAGCACUCCGCCUGGGGAGUACGACCGCAAGGUUGAAACUCAAAGGAAUUGACGGGGACCCGCACAAGCGGUGGAGCAUGUGGUUUAAUUCGAAGCAACGCGAAGAACCUUACCAAAUCUUGACAUCCUUUGACAACUCUAGAGAUAGAGCCUUCCCCUUCGGGGGACAAAGUGACAGGUGGUGCAUGGUUGUCGUCAGCUCGUGUCGUGAGAUGUUGGGUUAAGUCCCGCAACGAGCGCAACCCUUAAGCUUAGUUGCCAUCAUUAAGUUGGGCACUCUAAGUUGACUGCCGGUGACAAACCGGAGGAAGGUGGGGAUGACGUCAAAUCAUCAUGCCCCUUACGAUUUGGGCUACACACGUGCUACAAUGGACAAUACAAAGGGCAGCGAAACCGCGAGGUCAAGCAAAUCCCAUAAAGUUGUUCUCAGUUCGGAUUGUAGUCUGCAACUCGACUACAUGAAGCUGGAAUCGCUAGUAAUCGUAGAUCAGCAUGCUACGGUGAAUACGUUCCCGGGUCU
rnacentral:rRNA from 1 species